AGUGAACGCUGGCGGUAGGCCUAACACAUGCAAGUCGAACGGCAGCACAGUAAGAGCUUGCUCUUACGGGUGGCGAGUGGCGGACGGGUGAGGAAUACAUCGGAAUCUACUUUUUCGUGGGGGAUAACGUAGGGAAACUUACGCUCAUACCGCAUACGACCUACGGGUGAAAGCAGGGGAUCUUCGGACCUUGCGCGAUUGAAUGAGCCGCUGUCGGAUUAGCUAGUUGGCUGGGUAAAGGCCCACCAAGGCGACGAUCCGUAGCUGGUAUGAGAGGAUGAUUAGCCACACUGGAAGUGAGACACGGUCCAGACUUCUACGGGAGGCAGCAGUGGGGAAUAUUGGACAAUGGGAGCAAGCCUGAUCCAGCCAUACCGCGUGGGUGAAGAAGGCCUUCGGGUUGUAAAGCCCUUUUGUUGGGAAAGAAAAGCAGCAGGUUAAUACCCCGCUGUUCUGACGGUACCCAAAGAAUAAGCACCGGCUAACUUCGUG
rnacentral:rRNA from 1 species